GAGCGAACGCUGGCGGCAGGCUUAACACAUGCAAGUCGAGCGCCCGUAGCAAUACGGGAGCGGCAGACGGGAGAGUAACACGUGGGAACAUGCCCUUCGGUUCGGAAUAACUCAGGGAAACUUGAGCUAAUACCGGAUACGUCCGUAAGGAGAAAGAUUUAUCGCCGAAGGAUUGGCCCGCGUCCGAUUAGCUUGUUGGUGAGGUAACGGCUCACCAAGGCGACGAUCGGUAGCNGGUCUGAGAGGAUGAUCAGCCUCACUGGGACUGAGACACGGCCCAGACUCCGUACGGGAGGCA
rnacentral:rRNA from 1 species